CAGAAGUUCAUGACACUCAUAGUGAACAUAAUGAAGAAAGAGAAGCUUUUUGUAUCUCAAGGAGGUCCUAUAAACUUGGGGCAGACAAGUAUAACUCUUGAAGCAAAAUGACGGGUCUAUGUUUGGUUUGCCAAGAACAUGAAGCAAAAUGAAGUAAAGUGGUUCUUGAUUUAGGUUUGGUUUCUCUCUUUCAAACCUAUGUUUUGAUCUUUUCCCGAAUGUGACCUAGUUCUAAUUUGUACGGUGAUUUCUUUCCUUUCCUUGGUUUUUCUUCGGUUGGCCAAGAAGUUGAAGGAAAAUGAACUCUUCUUUCUUUUUCUUGAUUUAUUCCUAUUGAUCAAACCUAUGCCAGUACUUCUUGUUUCCUAUUUCCUGCAAGUCUUGCUUUUAUUUUGUAUAUACGGUCAACUGUAUGCUUUUGUCAGUUUGUUUUCAUUCUCCUUGAUUUACGAAUAUACAGUCAGCAUAUAGUUGCUAUUAUUGUGGUUGAUCAUAAAUUCUUACAUUUGGUCCAUGGGCCAUAUAUUGUUUUCUUGUCGGGGGAUUUUAUUUGUCUUUUCCUCUUUAUGGGAAACUCAAAUUACGUGCUUGAAACAGUUUUGCUUUCCUUUUCUUUCCCAAGGACACUAAUACUGGCUUACAUUGCAGAAAACAUGGCUUAUGAUUCCUCCAUGGGUGGUUGCCUUCUUGUGUUGCACUCUACUUGUUCAGGUGAUGUUAAAUUAACAGCUGCAGAUUUAAUUAAUGUUUUGCGUCGGUCAAUUUUGAAUACCAAAAGCCUUGAACUUAAGGUUAAUUUUGUCUUGCCCCAUUUCUAUAUAUGCAAGCAUGGUUAUUCCCAAGAUGCAUUCAUUUUGAUCAUAGGGGCUUAAUUUGGCUUGGGGAGCUAACACCUAUUUUAAAAAAUUUUCAGGUUGCAUUGUGCAAUGCAUCCAUACAGAUUGCUAAAACAUGUCCUCCUCAUAUCUGGAAACCAGAAUCUCUUAUUUAUACACUUGAUCAUAGGGACUUAAUUUGGCUUGGGGAGCUAACACCUAUUUUAAAAAAUUUUCAGGUUGCAUUGUGCAAUGCAUCCAAACAGAUUGCUAAAACAUGUCCUCCUCAUAUCUGGAAACCAGAAUCUCUUAUUUAUACACUUCUUUCCUUAGAACCCUGCCUGCCAUUGAUAGAUUGCUUUCAAGCAGCUCUAUCCAUACUUGGUCCUGAUUGUGUUGGAGUGAAAACAAGUGACACAAGUGUGGUUUCAUCAACCUCAAGUGAUAAAAGAAUUGAGAACUUGAGAGUUGGAGGGAAGCGGCCUAUUCAGGACCAGGACAUUUGCAAGAGUAAGCGCCAAAAGCUUGAAGAAGAAAGUAUGGCUUCUGAUGCUGAAGUUCAUGUGUCAUGCAAGCUAUCUCAUAUUGUUACCUGUGAAAGAGAACAAGAACACGCAAACUACAUGCACACCUCAUUUCUCUCCUUUGUUGAACUUCUGAAACCCCCUGUGGUCAAAGAUAAACCAUUUAGACCGGAAGUUUCUUUAACUGCUCUUAGCAUGCUUUGCAUUGUCUUCUCUAAAUAUCCACAGACCAAUAUGUCCAUUUUCAUUACUUAACAGAUAUAUGCAUGGAUCCCUUGGAUAUGUGAGCAGGUAAAACAAGGCUGUUCAAUCGCAUUUGAUUAUCCAUCUAUCUGGAAGCAGUUCACUGUGUAUUGCUUUUGCAAAGUCCUCUAUCCACAGAGAAUACUCUUUUAAGAAAUAAUGGGGAUGGUGCAGAUUUUAUGAAUAUAUAGCUAAAGCUUCCAUUUACCCAUUCUUUUAUGCUCAUUGAAUCUAAUCCUCCCUGGAGAACAAAAUGUCUCUCAGUCCAAGUUUAGUCCAAAAUUGGUCAUAGCUUAAAAACUGAAAGCAUUCUUGAAGUGUUGGAUUUGGGUCUCCAUGAUGAAGCUGAUGAGGUUAGAAUUAAAGCUGUCAUUUCUAUGUCGGUGAUUGUCUUGUGGUCUGGUCUUGAUGUGCUAAGACAUGUCUUCAGAAGGCUGG